GGCCCAAUGGUCUAGAGGUAAGAUACUUGCUUUGGGUAUCCGCUCGAGUGCAAGGGAUCCUGGGUUCAAUUCCCAGUUGGGCCC